UUUUCUCCUUUCAGGCGCCAAGAUUCUUCUAUUGGAUUUGGAGCACCUGUACGUGCAAAGAUGAGAGCCGGCAGUAUCAUAGAGGCAGCUGUUGCAUCAUUCUUAUGCAGUCAAGGACUGUAGAUGCACCUAUUAGGGGAGAAGAGAAGAGUCCAGAAGUGGUUCCUUUAGAACCUAUGUUAUCUUCUGGACAAAAGGAAGAAUAUCCCAAAACACCUACUGUAGAAAAUGGGAUUGAAAACAAUCUUGUAUUAUCUCGACAUGUUGCUCCGAGUCUGCUCUUAAAAGAGCAAACUUUGAUGCAUCACUUGUUCAAGAAGUAUAUUUUGGGAAUGUUCUUAGUGCAAAUCUAGGACAAGCUGCUCUUGGAGCUGGAACUCCCAAUACUGUUGUAUGCACUACAAUCAAAUAUGGGAGAUUGUGCUGAAAUUAUUGCUGAAAAGUAUGCCUUAACAAGAGAAGAACAGGUAUUUUAUUUUAUAGGAGUAGCCUACUCAAGGCACACUGUUUUGAUAUACUCUUACCAUGGUGGGGAGGAAGUACGACAUCACUUGGAGGUAGUGAUGAUUAUUAGUCAAAUUCAUAUAUGGUGUUUCUUAUUUUAAUUGUAAGUUAUAAUGCUGAGGUUGUUUGGUUG